AACGAACGCUGGCGGCAGGCUUAACACAUGCAAGUCGAGCGCCCCGCAAGGGGAGCGGCAGACGGGUGAGUAACACGUGGGAAUCUACCCAUCCCUGCGGAACAACUCCGGGAAACUGGAGCUAAUACCGCAUACGACCUUCGGGGGAAAGAUUUAUCGGGGAUGGAUGAGCCCGCGUUGGAUUAGCUAGUUGGUGGGGUAAAGGCCUACCAAGGCGACGGUCCAUAGCUGGUCUGAGAGGAUGAUCAGCCACAUUGGGACUGAGACACGGCCCAAACUCCUACGGGAGGCAGCAGUGGGGAAUAUUGGACAAUGGGCGCAAGCCUGAUCCAGCCAGGCCGCGUGAGUGAUGAAGGCCUUAGGGUUGCAAAGCUCUUUCACCGAUGAAGAUAAUGACGGUAGUCGGAGAAGAAGCCCCGGCUAACUUCGUGCCAGCCGCCGCGGUAAAAC
rnacentral:rRNA from 1 species